rnacentral:tRNA from 1 species
AUAGGUUUAGUUAAUAUAUAAUGUAUACUUGUCGUGUAUAAGUAGUUUUAAGUAAACAACCUAUU